GCCUGGGUGGCUCAAUCAGUUGAGCAUCUGACUUCGGCUCAGGACAUGAUCCCAUGAUUUGUGAGUUCGAGCCCCACAUCAGGCU
rnacentral:tRNA from 1 species